rnacentral:rRNA from 1 species
CAAUAGCGUAUAUUAAAGUUGUUGCAGUUAAAAAGCUCGUAGUUGGAUUUUGAGUUUUGUAGGCUCGGUCUACUAUUUAGUAGUACUGACUUGCUGGCUCUUCUUCUCGAGGCCUAUGGGUGCACUUAACCGUGUGUUCAUAGUGUUCGGGACUUUUACCGUGAGAAAAUUAGAGUGUCCAUAGCAGGCUUUUGCUUGAAUAUUGCAGCAUGGAAUAAUGGAAUAGGAUCAUGAUCUUAUUUUGUUGGUUUCUAAGAUCAAGAUAAUGAUUAAUAGGGAUAGUUGGGGGCGUUAAUAUUUAGUUGUCAGAGGUGAAAUUCUUAGAUUUACAAAAGAUUAACUUCUGCGAAAGCAUUCGCCAAGGAUGUUUUCGUUAA